rnacentral:rRNA from 1 species
AAUAGAUACCCCGGUAGUCCACGCCGUAAACGAUGAAUACUAGGUGUAGGAGGUAUCGACCCCUUCUGUGCCGCAGUUAACACAAUAAGUAUUCCGCCUGGGGAGUACGAUCGCAAGAUUAAAACUCAAAGGAAUUGACGGGGGCCCGCACAAGCAGCGGAGCAUGUGGUUUAAUUCGAAGCAACGCGAAGAACCUUACCUAGACUUGACAUCUCCUGAAUUACCCUUAACCGGGGAAGCCCUUCGGGGCAGGAAGACAGGUGGUGCAUGGUUGUCGUCAGCUCGUGUCGUGAGAUGUUGGGUUAAGUCCCGCAACGAGCGCAACCCUUAUCAUUAGUUGCUACCAUUAAGUUGAGCACUCUAGUGAGACUGCCACGGUUAACGUGGAGGAAGGUGGGGAUGACGUCAAAUCAUCAUGCCCCUUAUGUCUAGGGCUACACACGUGCUACAAUGGUGAGUACAAAGAGAUGCAAUACCGUGAGGUGGAGCCAAACUCAAAAACUCAUCCCAGUUCGGAUUGUAGGCCGAAACUCGCCUACA